UAGUUUGAUUCAUGGCUCAGGAUGAACGCUGGCGGCGUGCCUAAUACAUGCAAGUCGAGCGAAUGGAUUAAGAGCUUGCUCUUAUGAAGUUAGCGGCGGACGGGUGAGUAACACGUGGGUAACCUGCCCAUAAGACUGGGAUAACUCCGGGAAACCGGGGCUAAUACCGGAUAACAUUUUGAACCGCAUGGUUCGAAAUUGAAAGGCGGCUUCGGCUGUCACUUAUGGAUGGACCCGCGUCGCAUUAGCUAGUUGGUGAGGUAACGGCUCACCAAGGCAACGAUGCGUAGCCGACCUGAGAGGGUGAUCGGCCACACUGGGACUGAGACACGGCCCAGACUCCUACGGGAGGCAGCAGUAGGGAAUCUUCCGCAAUGGACGAAAGUCUGACGGAGCAACGCCGCGUGAGUGAUGAAGGCUUUCGGGUCGUAAAACUCUGUUGUUAGGGAAGAACAAGUGCUAGUUGAAUAAGCUGGCACCUUGACGGUACCUAACCAGAAAGCCACGGCUAACUACGUGCCAGCAGCCGCGGUAAUACGUAGGUGGCAAGCGUUAUCCGGAAUUAUUGGGCGUAAAGCGCGCGCAGGUGGUUUCUUAAGUCUGAUGUGAAAGCCCACGGCUCAACCGUGGAGGGUCAUUGGAAACUGGGAGACUUGAGUGCAGAAGAGGAAAGUGGAAUUCCAUGUGUAGCGGUGAAAUGCGUAGAGAUAUGGAGGAACACCAGUGGCGAAGGCGACUUUCUGGUCUGUAACUGACACUGAGGCGCGAAAGCGUGGGGAGCAAACAGGAUUAGAUACCUUAAGUAGUCCA
rnacentral:rRNA from 1 species